rnacentral:tRNA from 1 species
GGGCGUGUAGCUCAGUUGGGAGAGCGCGUGGUUUGCAUCCACGAGGUCACGGGUUCGAGUCCCGUCACGUCCACCA